UACGUAGGGUGCGAGCGUUAAUCGGAAUCACUGGGCGUAAAGCGCACGUAGGCGGCUUUCUAAGUCAGGGGUGAAAUCCUGGAGCUCAACUCCAGAACUGCCUUUGAUACUGGGAAGCUCGAGUCCGGGAGAGGUGAGUGGAACUCCGAGUGUAGAGGUGAAAUUCGUAGAUAUUCGGAAGAACACCAGUGGCGAAGGCGGCUCACUGGCCCGGUACUGACGCUGAGGUGCGAAAGCGUGGGGAGCAAACAGG
rnacentral:rRNA from 1 species